GAUUAACGCUAGCGGCAGGCCUAAUACAUGCAAGUCGAGGGGCAGCGCGGAUAGCAAUAUCUGGCGGCGACCGGCGCACGGGUGCGUAACACGUAUGCAACCUACCUUUAACUGGGGCAUAGCCCCGAGAAAUCGGGAUUAAUACCUCAUAACAUUGCGAGAAGACAUCUUUUUGCAAUUAAAGUCCCAACGGUUAAAGAUGGGCAUGCGCGACAUUAGCUUGUUGGUGAGGUAACGGCUCACCAAGGCGACGAUGUCUAGGGGUUCUGAGAGGAUUCACCCCCACACUGGUACUGAGACACGGACCAGACUCCUACGGGUGGCUG
rnacentral:rRNA from 1 species